rnacentral:rRNA from 1 species
UACAGAGGGUGCUAGCGUUGUUCGGAAUCAUUGGGCGUAAAGGGCGUGUAGGCGGUUUGUUAAGUCAUGUGUGAAAUCCCUCGGCUCAACCGGGGAACGACGCAUGAAACUGGCAAGCUAGAGUACCAAAGAGGGGGGUGGAAUUCCCGGUGUAGCGGUGAAAUGCGCAGAUAUCAGGAGGAACACCAAUGGCGAAGGCAGCGCUCUGGGACGUGACUGACGCUGAGACGCGAAAGCGUGGGGAGCAAACAGG